AAAGACGCCGUCUCUUUUGAGAAAAAUUGGGUUCACUCCUAGGUUCACCAACCAAUUAAAAAUUAGCAUAUUAAAUGUAGUCUUUUUCAUAAAGACUUAUUCUUGGGUUCACUCCCUAAGGUGAACUUCUAGGUUCACCAACCAAUAGGAUUUCAUUAUUUCAAAUUCGAUAUCUUUUAAAAAAGGAAACAAACUAUUGUCAAGUUAUAUUAUGUUUUUAAAAUAAAAAGAUAAAAAAUAAAAAAUAAAAAUAGUAGUAAUUACAAAAAAAUAUUUUUAACGUUGUGAGGGAAAAACUAAACCCUAAAUCCUAAUCCCUAAACCCUAAAUCUGAAACCCUAAACCCUUGGGUAAACCCUAGACCCUUGGAUAAAUCAUAAACUCUAAAUCAAAAACACUAAACACUAAAACACUCAAGGGUUUAGGAUUUUAGUGUUUACUGUUUUUGAUUUAGAAUUUAUGAUUUAUCCAAGGGUUUAGGGUUUACCAAGGGUUUAGGGUUUACCCAAGGGUUUAGGGUUUACCCAAGGGUUUAGGGUUUCAGAUUUACGGUUUAGGGAUUAGUAUUUAGGGUUUAGUGUUUUGCUGGCGACGUUAACAAUAUUCAUUUUAAAAAAUUCUUUUUUUUGUAACUACUAUUUUUUUUUUACUUUUUUAUUUUAAAAACAUAAUAUAACUUGACAAUAUUUUGUUUCCUUUUUUAAAAGAUAUCGAAUUUGAAAUAAUGAAUCCUAUUGGUUGGUGAAUCUAGAGGUUCACCCUAGGGGGUGAACCCAAGAAUAACUCUUUCAUAAAAGGAAACAAAAUAUUUUGAAUUUACUUUUUAAAAUAAAUCGAUAAAAAAUAAAUAAAAAUAUUAGUAGCUGGAAAAAAACAUUUUUUCUAAAAGUUGUUAACGUCUACACUAAAUCAUAAACCCGAAUUCAUAAACACUAAACCUAAACCCUAAACUCUUAGAUAAACCCUAAACCCUUGUGUAAAUCAUAAAUCCUUAGAUAAAUCCUAAAAACUAAACCUUAAAAUUUAAGGUAAACCAUAAACCUUGGGUAAA
rnacentral:lncRNA from 1 species